rnacentral:rRNA from 1 species
GUUUAAUUCGAAGAUACGCGCAGAACCUUACCAACACUUGACAUGUUCGUCGCGACUCUAAGAGAUUAGAGUUUUCGGUUCGGCCGGACGAAACACAGGUGCUGCAUGGCUGUCGUCAGCUCGUGUCGUGAGAUGUUGGGUUAAGUCCCGCAACGAGCGCAACCCUCACUUUUAGUUGCCAUCAUUAAGUUGGGCACUCUGAAAGAACUGCCAGUGAUAAGCUGGAGGAAGGUGGGGAUGACGUCAAGUCCUCAUGGCCCUUACGUGUUGGGCUACACACGUGCUACAAUGGUAUCUACAACAGGAAGCAAGACGGCGACGUCAAGCAAAUCCUUAAAAGAUACCUCAGUUCGGAUUGCACUCUGCAACUCGAGUGCAUGAAGCUGGAAUUACUAGUAAUCGUGGAUCAGCGUGCCACGGUGAAUGCGUUCCCGGGUCUUGUACACACCGCCCGUCACACCAUGGGAGUUGGUUCUACCUUAAGGCAAGGUUUUAAACCCUUGACCACGGUAUAGUCAGCGACUGGGGUG